GAUGAACGCUGGCGGCGUGCUUAACACAUGCAAGUCGAACGGUGAACACGGAGCUUGCUCUGUGGGAUCAGUGGCGAACGGGUGAGUAACACGUGAGCAACCUGCCCCUGACUCUGGGAUAAGCGCUGGAAACGGCGUCUAAUACUGGAUAUGUGACGUGACCGCAUGGUCUGCGUUUGGAAAGAUUUUUCGGUUGGGGAUGGGCUCGCGGCCUAUCAGCUUGUUGGUGAGGUAAUGGCUCACCAAGGCGUCGACGGGUAGCCGGCCUGAGAGGGUAACCGGCCACACUGGGACUGAGACACGGCCCAGACUCCUACGGGAGGCAGCAGUGGGGAAUAUUGCACAAUGGGCGCAAGCCUGAUGCAGCAACGCCGCGUGAGGGAUGACGGCCUUCGGGUUGUAAACCUCUUUUAGCAGGGAAGAAGCGAAAGUGACGGUACCUGCAGAAAAAGCGCCGGCUAACUACGUG
rnacentral:rRNA from 1 species